GUGGUGGUAGCUCAAUUGGUAGAGCGCGUAGCACCGUCUUUCACCCCCUUGCCCGCGCGCCGGGCCGACGAACCGACGGUUAUCAAUUAGAAAUCACGAGGUUGCAGGUUCGAGCCCUGCCCACCACACCA
rnacentral:tRNA from 1 species